UACGAAGGUGGCAAGCGUUAUUCGGAUUUACUGGGCGUACAGGGAGCGUAGGCGGUUCGGUAAGCCCUUUGUGAAAUCUUCAGGCUUAACCUGGAACAGUCGGAGGGGACUGCCGGGCUAGAGGACGGGAGAGGAGCGCGGAAUUCCCGGUGUAGCGGUGAAAUGCGUAGAGAUCGGGAGGAAGGCCGGUGGCGAAGGCGGCGCUCUGGAACGUUUCUGACGCUGAGGCUCGAAAGCGUGGGGAGCAAACAGG
rnacentral:rRNA from 1 species